rnacentral:rRNA from 1 species
AGGAUGAACGCUGGCGGCGUGCCUAACACAUGCAAGUCGAACGUCCUGUCUCGCAAGAGGCAGGGAGUGGCGGACGGGUGAGUACCACGUGGGUCAUCUACCGUGAGGUGAGGAAUACCGGCGAGAAAUCGCCGACAAGACCGCAUAGGCUCGAUGCAAGUCGAGCAAAGCUCUUUCGAGAGAGGGAGCGCCACACGAGGAGCCUGCGCCCGAUUAGCUAGCUGGUGGAGUAACGGUUCACCAGGGCGACGAUCGGUAGCUGGUCUGAGAGGACGAUCAGCCACACUGGGAUUGAGAACGGCCCAGACUCCUACGGGGGGCAGCAGUGAGGAAUUUUCGUCAAUGGGGGCAACCCUGAACGAGCAACGCCGCGUGCAGGAAGAAGGUUUCGGAUCGUAAACUGUCUUUCGUCGGGGAAGAGAACGGACGGUACCCGAGGAAUCAGCCCGGCUAACUACGUGCCAGCAGCCGCGU